AACGAACGCUGGCGGCAUGCCUAACACAUGCAAGUCGAACGAGACCUUCGGGUCUAGUGGCGCAUGGGUGCGUAACGCGUGGGAACCUGCACUUAGGUUCGGAAUAACUCCCCGAAAGGGGUGCUAAUACCGGAUAAUGUCUUCGGACCAAAGAUUUAUCGCCUUUGGUUGGGCCCGCGUUGGAUUAGCUAGUUGGUAGGGUAAAAGCCUACCAAGGCGACGAUCCAUAGCUGGUCUGAGAGGAUGAUCAGCCACACUGGGACUGAGACACGGCCCAGACUCCUACGGGAGGCAGCAGUGGGGAAUAGUGGACAAUGGGCGAAAGCCUGAUCCAGCAAGGCCGCGUGAGUGAUGAAGGCCUUAGGGUUGUAAAGCUCUUGUACCCGGGAUGAUAAUGACAGUACCGGGAGAAUAAGCCCCGGCUAACUCCGUG
rnacentral:rRNA from 1 species